UUCUACUGUACCAAAUACCCUUUAGUUAUACAUGCACUUGAUCACUCUUCAAAGUCUAAUGUUUAUGUUUUCUUGAUGAUUUUCCCAUCCUUAAUUUGUCCAUUCCUAUUUUUCUUUCUGUCUUACAGCAGGUUGCAUGUUCUGCCAAAGCGAGCUUGGUUCAAAGAGAAUUGAUCACAACUGCCAAAACUACAAACACUUGUACUAUACCAAUUUGUUGGAAAUUCUUGCUUACUACCGUUAUGGCAUUCAUCUGCAAGUCAAGCUCAAUAUCCUUACUUUGAUGCUCUCCAACGUCGAAAAUGUCGCAAAUGUUCAAAUAAAAAGACCAUUCUUUCCCAGUGCUGAUAAAAUUUGAAGCAAGGAUUACAUAGUGGUGUGCUUCAUAUUUUGUUUCUUCUUUUUCAUGAUGAUUGUAUUGCAGUAUUAUUUCUUCCCUGAAAGAAGUAAACUAGCUCGAUGGCAUGAAUGAGUAUUGAUUUGAUUGUGCUUCUC